rnacentral:rRNA from 1 species
GACGAACGCUGGCGGCGUGCUUAACACAUGCAAGUCGAACGGUAAGGCCCUUCGGGGUACACGAGUGGCGAACGGGUGAGUAACACGUGGGUGAUCUGCCCUGCACUUCGGGAUAAGCCUGGGAAACUGGGCCUAAUACCGGAUAGGACCACUGCCUGCAUGGGUGGUGGGGGAAAGCUUUUGCGGUGGGGGAUGGGCCCGCGGCCUAUCAGCUUGUUGGUGGGGUGAUGGCCUACCAAGGCGACGACGGGUAGCCGGCCUGAGAGGGUGACCGGCCACGCUGGGACUGAGAUACGGCCCAGACUCCUACGGGAGGCAGCAGUGGGGAAUAUUGCACAAUGGGCGCAAGCCUGAUGCAGCGACGCCGCGUGAGGGAUGACGGCCUUCGGGUUGUAAACCUCUUUCAGCACCGACGAAGCGCAAGUGACGGUAGGUGCAGAAGAAGGACCGGCCAACUACGUGCCAGCAGCCGCGGUAA